rnacentral:rRNA from 1 species
UACGGAGGAUCCGAGCGUUAUCCGGAUUUAUUGGGUUUAAAGGGUGCGUAGGUGGCCUGUUAAGUCAGGGGUGAAAGACGGUAGCUCAACUAUCGCAGUGCCCUUGAUACUGAUGGGCUUGAAUGAACUAGAGGUAGGCGGAAUGUGACAAGUAGCGGUGAAAUGCAUAGAUAUGUCACAGAACACCAAUUGCGAAGGCAGCUUACUAUGGUUUUAUUGACACUGAGGCACGGAAGCGUGGGGAUCAAACAGG